rnacentral:sRNA from 1 species
ACUGCGAGUUGGCGCUGUCGGGAUCCUGCGCGCGGGCCAUUCCGACGGUGCCGCGCUCGAAGGGAACGUC